UACGUAGGGGGCAAGCGUUGUCCGGAAUCAUUGGGCGUAAAGAGCUCGUAGGCGGUGUGUCGCGUCGGCCGUGAAAACCUGCAGCUUAACUGUGGGCGUGCGGUCGAUACGGGCAUCACUGGAGUUCGGCAGGGGAGACUGGAAUUCCUGGUGUAGCGGUGAAAUGCGCAGAUAUCAGGAGGAACACCGGUGGCGAAGGCGGGUCUCUGGAACGGUACUGACGCUGAGACGCGAAAGCGUGGGGAGCGAACAGG
rnacentral:rRNA from 1 species